AACUUCCCCGCAGGAAAAUAGCUCCUGCUCAACCCCCAUAGCCAUCCCAUCCAGCGCGGCGUGGAAACCCUAGCGCCGCUCUUCCUUAUCGCCCUCCUCUCCUUAUCGCCCUCCUCUCGGCGUUCGUAUUCUCCCUGCCGUCAUGAGCUUCAACAUUUGAUCUAGAAUCGAUGUAAAAUCGGUACUACCCAUGAUUAAAAGAAAGGUACGAUCCAAACAUGGUCUUCCCAAGUCGUAGGUAUCAAUGUUCAAUCUAGCUCUCGCACAAUCAGCACUGCAGAUGAUACAGAGGUCGGGAGUCCGCUUUUCUUGCAACCUACCUCCUAAGAUGUGGCCAGUAUGCAGUCCAGCAGCUGAAUCUAUCCCAUGAUGGUUAUUCCAUGUAGGAGGUGGCCGCUGAGCGAGGAACUAUCAUGUGCUCAUCCGCCAGGCAAGUAACUUUGGUCCUUCCUGCUAAUAAUUAUUUUGGCUGGGGUUAGCUUUCCGUUUUGAGUCAACUGCUGGUCGAGACCAGCACACUCCACAGGUGUCAGUUGAUUCAGAUAAACAUAUCUUAUAUGUAAUGUUUCUUGGACAUUAAAGAGGAACUAUCAUGUGCUCAUCCGCCAGGCAAGUAACUUUGGUCCUUCCUGCUAAUAAUUAUUUUGGCUGGGGUUAGCUUUCCGUUUUGAGUCAACUGCUGGUCGAGACCAGCACACUCCACAGGUGUCAGUUGAUUCAGAUAAACAUAUCUUAUAUGUAAUGUUUCUUGGACAUUAAAUUUCAAGAUUACAGGUUCUUUUGUGGAUUUUAUAGCACUGGAGGCCACAGAGGACAAUCAUGUAAAAGCUCCUACUAUGCAAGCAAUCAGAUCGUCCGAAAUUAAAUCCUAGGUAGAGUCGUCCAGCGGUCGUCGUCUUCAGCGGGCAGCGUGAUCCAACGGCAGCGUCUUUAUCGGACAUCACGGGCGGCCGAGCCGGUGCUUCUCCAGCGGCCGACGUUUCCUCUCUAUCC